AAAGUGCGACAAGUGUCAUGACUUGCAGAUACCCGAGAGCUGACAAAUUUCUGAAUGCAAAUUGCAGCCAAGUUAACCUGGCUAUGUAUUGCAGAGAGUACUUCGCUUAUGCGCGCCAUCCAGGGGUGGUUCCAUUCCCCCUUGGGCUAUGUGCAGGCAUCUUCUUGCUUGCUGAGCAUUGUGCCACUCCAACCUUCGCGGUCGGAUCAAAGGCCAACUCAAAUUAAAGAUAGAAAACCAUCGAGUUUUCCCGGACAAUAUAUGAGAUAAUUGAGUUCACUCUCAAUUACUUCUCACCAUUCACCUCUGCAAUGCAGGAGAACCCGCUGAACUUAA
rnacentral:misc_RNA from 1 species